UGUGUACGUAGUUCGGGUCUGCCAGAAAUUCAGAGCCAGUAUUUUGUGGCGUUUUAUCGGACAAAUGGUAUAUACACUAAGUAAUAGCAACGCCCAGUUCAUCUGGAGUUAGUUUUGCUAGUUCCACAAUACAUUUAAUAUGUAUGAUAUAUAAAACACCGAUUUGUAGGUGUAUUAAACAAGGCUGCAACUUUAUAAAAGUAUACAAUUUACAUAUUCUUUACAAAUUAUACUUAUUACAUUUACCGACGAUUGUUAUGUUUGUUUAGUUUUCAUUAUAUAAAAACAAAUUUAAUUAAUAGUGAAUGAAUUAUUAAUUAGAACUGUAUUAUUUGUGGUUACUCACUUUCCAUACAAGCUCCAGAGAAGGGAUCGCAAGGAACACCUGGUCUGCAAUGAGCGCAGUUCGUCUUUGGUUUAUCGCCUGUUAAAAAUGUAGCGGUCAGAUGUUGUGAUCUCGUGUGGUAAAGAACAUACUGGCUGAUGAUUUAAAACAGUGCAAGACUGCCCGGGAGUGCAAGGUCCACCUUGAGAACAAGGGUCGGCGCAACGAUCAGCCAUGCACGCCAUAUUGCUGGGACACUGCUCGUGAUCGCUGCAUUCUACAGCUGUAUUGAAAAAGAAUGUCACUACAAAUCUCAACAACACACAUAAAACUUAAUCUCAAUAUUAAAAACGUCGAAACUUAACUUCGGUUAUCACAAAAGUACAUUGCUUUAACAUUUUCAACUAAACCUUUUUAAAAUUGUAAUACUUUUAUGACAUUAAUUAAAUUUAAUUUCUCUGCUUUUGUGCACUACACGAUCUACCAGACUUUUUUAAUUCUAAAUCAAUUAUUAAAUUAAAGCUCUAUUUCUGAAGUACAUUAUUACUUUAGAUAUAACAAAUUAGCAAUAAAUUUAUCAAGAUUCAA